rnacentral:rRNA from 1 species
GAUGAACGCUGGCGGCGUGCCUAAUACAUGCAAGUCGAGCGAACAGACGAGGAGCUUGCUCCUCUGACGUUAGCGGCGGACGGGUGAGUAACACGUGGAUAACCUACCUAUAAGCCUGGGAUAACUUCUGGAAACCGGAGCUAAUACCGGAUAAUAUAUUGAACCGCAUGGUUCAAUAGUGAAAGACGGUUUUGCUGUCACUUAUAGAUGGAUCCGCGCCGCAUUAGCUAGUUGGUAAGGUACCGGCUUACCAAGGCAACGAUGCGUAGCCGACCUGAGAGGGUGAUCGGCCACACUGGAACUUAGACACGGUCCAGACUCCUACGGGAGGCAGCAGUAGGGAAUCUUCCGCAAUGGGCGAAAGCCUGACGGAGCAACGCCGCGUGAGUGAUGAAGGUCUUCGGAUCGUAAAACUCUGUUAUUAGGGAAGAGCAAAUGUGUAAGUAACUAUGCACGUCUUGACGGUACCUAAUCAGAAAGCCACGGCUAACUACGUGCCAGCAGCCGCCGUAA